AAAGCAGUAAAGGAGACUUCUAAUCACCUAAUCCCACACAAGGGUUGCUUUA
rnacentral:tRNA from 1 species